rnacentral:rRNA from 1 species
UACGUAGGGUGCAAGCGUUAAUCGGAAUUACUGGGCGUAAAGCGUGCGCAGGCGGUUUUGUAAGUCUGACGUGAAAGCCCCGGGCUCAACCUGGGAAUUGCGAUGGAGACUGCAAGGCUUGAAUCUGGCAGAGGGGGGUAGAAUUCCACGUGUAGCAGUGAAAUGCGUAGAGAUGUAGAGGAACACCGAUGGCGAAGGCAGCCCCCUGGGUCAAGAUUGACGCUCAUGCACGAAAGCGUGGGGAGCAAACAGG